UAUAGGACCCAAAGAGUGGCUCAUUUUCCUCCGAAGCUACGCCUAGUGAGCUUCGUUCUGAGGGACUCGCCGGAAAAUUUAUCAGUUUCCUUCGAGCUUAAUCUGAAAAUUUAUCGGAAUUUGCCGAAAAAAUUUAAGUUAAAGAGUGAGUUGGAAGCAAGAAAGGCAAAGACUUUCUGCAGAUCCGAUUGAAUUACGCCAAAAAGGGAGAAAAAGGCAAAAAAAAUUCGAGCUUUAUAAAAACGAAGCUGAAACUCUGAUUCCUUUUCUUCAAUUUUAUCAAUUUCACAUUUUUCCUUCACUUUCUGAUCCGAAAGCCGCGAGAAAUGGUAGUGAAAGUAGCUUCGACCUGUUUGCAAUGGUCGCAGCCGAUCGUUCCACACUCUACCCCUUCCUCUCAAACUCUAGCCUCCGCAAUCGCAUCUCCUUCCUCAAAACGACGUACCCGUGGCGGCGACGGCGGAGCUGUUCUCUGCCUCUACGUCCACAGCUUGAACCGGUCGGCUCUGUUUGGAGCUCCAUCGACGAAGCUAAACCGAUCCAGGUCAUGCGAGUUACGGAAGCCGAGAUUUCGGUCCAUGAAAAGAGCUUGCAGUGCGAACUUGGACGCCUUCUCCGACGAAGAGUUCUCGAAGAAGAUUCAAGAGCUCGCUCUCAGAUUCCAGCUCUCGGACGAUUUUGACGGUGAAGAUAACGGCAACGGCGACGGUAACACUUCGAAUUCGGAAACAGAGAAAGCUGAUUCUGAUAGUCGCCGCGUCAAUGACUCUUCUUCAACAAUGAGAUUUGAACAGAACCAGAGCCUGUUCGAGUUGCCGCUCGAUCUGGAGCUACCGUGGUCGUCCGAUUGGCAGCAGCGGGACGAGAUUGUUCCGGAGGCGAGCAUCGAGCGGAAGGCUUCCGCUCUCUCUCCGGAUGAUCAAGAGAAAGCUGCAGUGGCAGGAAGGGUUCAGAGAAGCUGGGGAAUCCGCGUGUUCCUCUGUGAAAAAGGCCUUCUCUUCCAUGGUGUUCAUAAUCCGAGAGCUUCAUACGUACACCUUACAGAUGAGAGCGGUUCUGUUCUACGAAGAUUUACAGGGGAUUUUGGGUCGUGUUCAGAAGGAGAUGCACGCUUCGUUCGUUUGGCUUUUUCAACAGGUCUUUUCUCAAACGCCGACGCUAAUGGUGUACGUGAUGAUACUCCUGGCCAAUUUCACCGUCUACUCAUUAGGCCAUAACGCCGCCAUUGCGGCUGCUCCGCCACCUGGGAUAUAUUCCAGUGCAACUGAGACUACUAUAUCAGUGGAGGAGGUUCAGAAUCACAACGAUAAAUUGGAUAAUACCCAAUUUGAUUCCUCGACAAGUAAGUCGUUUUCUGUGAAUGGGAACGUGAAUGGGAAAACGACAUCCAUAGGCGGAAACAAUGGCGGUGGUGGGAAAGCCCGACCCGUGGGCAGCGGCACGGAAGGAGACGGCCGGUUCGACGGGUCGGACCAGUACCGGACAAUUGUCCCCGACGGAGCUUCGCAGUUGUCCUCACUUGGGACGACGACAGAGGCAGAGUCGGUGUCCGGGCAAGAGAGCAAAGAGGAGGAGUUGGCUGUGUGGAAUUCAAUAGUGGAAGAAGCUCAUGAAAUGCGAGGCUACCAUGAAGCUGUGAACCAUGAAACGAUGCAGAGAUUUGUUUCGCCGGUGGUGGUGAAUAUGGAGGGUGAUGAUUACGAGGAGUACUUCAGAACAGAGCUUCUCUACCAAACGGGACUAUCCAUAGAGCCCAGCAAUGCUCUGCUUCUUGCCAAUUACGCUCAGUUCCUCUACCAAGUUGCUCAUGAUUAUGACAGAGCUGAAGAGUACUUCAAGAAGGCAGUAGGGCUGGAGCCACCGGACGCGGAGGCCUACAACAAAUACGCGACGUUUCUGUGGAGGGUUCGAAACGACUUGUGGGCUGCAGAAGAAACCUUCUUGGAAGCCAUUUCAGCUGACCCAAGCAACUCAUACUACGCUGCCAACUAUGCCCAUUUUCUUUGGGACACCGGCGCUGAGGACACCUGUUUCCCUCUCAACUCUCCUGAUGAUGACACCCAAGAUGCUUAGUAAAUUACAUUUUUUUUAUAAAAAAAAACACAUACAGAAGAGAAGAGAAGAGAAAAGAGCCGUCACCUUCCGUUUAUUUUCCCAAUUUUACUCGGAAUUUGGUAUUAGAAAAUCCAAAAAAUAAAUAAAGAGAAAAAGGAAGAGACUAGCAAGAGGUCUUUUUUUUUUUUUAAUAUUUAUUUGUUCCUGAAGUUUUGGUGGGCGGUGGUGGUGGUGGCGUUUGGAGCGGAGGGAAGCACGUGACCUGGGACAUGCUCACAUGCACGGCAAAACUGGCAGCAGAAUUUGCAGUGUGUUUGGCGUUGCGCGUUGUUUCCGAUCUGUAUGUGCGCGGGGAGUGGAGCCAAUCGGAAUACAUGGCUGUUUUUGCACAGAUUAUGUCGCUUUUUUUUUUGUUAAUUCCUUUUCUUUCUUUUUUUGGGUCGAGACAAACAAUCACAUGGCAAAGUGUAAUUAGCCUCCUUGUUAAUAUUAUGCCAUUUUCAAUUUUACUACAAA